GCAAGAGAAAGAAACUUCUCCAGAGCCUAUGAAUGCUGACAUUUCUUCUGAAGCUGCAGAUGUUUCAAAUAAUGAAGCUGAAAUCAAUAGUCAGGUUCAAAGUAUAAGCAGCCCUACAGAAACAGAGCCGCAAGUUAACUAAUAGGAGCGCCGYGGGAGACGAGGCGGUGACGACGGCUCCGCGGCAGGCACCGACGUCGUCCGGCAUCCCCGCGGCAGGAAGGCRCCCGACACGGCCGCGCGGGAAGGGAGGCAGCCGCGGGAAUUGCCUCCUUGCUUUCGUUUCUCUUUGUUCGCCAUGGCGUUUUCGUUCUGUAAACCUGUUGGAAAGAAACAUUUCUUCCCGGUUCUGGCAAUGUUUUGCAACCAUCCCUGCAAUUACAACCGUUUCUUCUGAACCACGAGUCCCUGUGUUAUAUUAGGUCUCUCUCCGCUCGUGUUGGCAGCCCACGGGGCCCGUCCCUGCCCCUCGCAUCCUUGCUGCUUUCCCAGUUUACGGUCCUCUCUGCAGGAAGCCUGUGGGGGUGAGUUUAUCCUCCCUUUUAUUUGUUAUUUGUUUUCCCUAAAGCUGUUCCCUAGCGUAGAAGCUGAGAUUCGCUGUGGGAACAGGAGCCGCCAYGAAGGAUUAUGAUCCGCACACACCAGCCCCCAGCGGCUCUCCCUCUGCUAGGGCUCUGCAAGGAAGGCAGCUCCCAGCUCUCCAAACCCAUGUCCGGACGUCCAGGCUGGGCAGCAGAGCCUGGGGCAGCCGCUGCCUUGGCUUUUCCAAUGAUCCGGCCKCUCCACGGUGCCUGGCGGAUCCGGACGCACUUCACGCACGUGGCCUUGGACAGUCGGUGCCCCCCAUCCCCAAGCCCAUGCUGUAGGUGUCUCCUUGGAGUACUCGCAGGCAACAGCUCUGUCCCCAGCCCCACGAGUGGCGGAGGGCAGCAGGCAUCCUGCAUCCAGACCCCUUGGAAUUCGGCUUCUCGCUUGCACCGCUUCACGCUGCACCUUGUGUGACCCUCGCUGCACUUCCUGCUGCCUAUGCAUGAUUUCUUUUUAUCAGUUAGGAAGAAAAAGAAGCUAUUAACAGUUGCUAGGGGAGGAAGGUCUCACCAUAUGCCAAUGGUUCUGCUGGCAAAUGCUGUGCUGAGGUCUUUUAUGGGAAGGCACAAAGAGGUCUUGCGUUUCCGCACCGCGCCGGACAUGAGCUCCGUGGAAGUGCGUACGUGGAAGAGCAGGCAACCUGUGYGCACUGGGCAAUGUGCUGCAAAACCUUAGAUUUUUACAGUGCUGCUGGUAAAAACCUGACCAUUUUAAAUAGAGAAAUUGUGAGUUUCCCCCCUUGCCUCCCCUGAAAAUAUGCACAAAUCCCCAAAUAGGUUUUGACUAGCUGGACACAAAAGAAAACCCAAGGUGCAAGACUGGCAGAUACAUCCAUCCUACCUUGGUCUAGGUUUAUUCUAGCUAUAGUAGGUUUGAUGAGAACAUUUCUGUUGGUCUAAAUGGGAGCAAAACGUGGCCUUAAAUGCACAUACCAUUGGCCAUAGCAUCUGGUGAUGGCUGUCAGCCGCUGAGUGAUUUGAAAGGGUGUCAGGACAAACACAGAUGAGAGAGGAAAAUAGGAAACGCCACCAGAUUGCACUGAAAGCCCCCGAGUGACGCUGCCUCGCGCUUCGCAGUGUGCAGCCCUGGCCCGUUUGCCUGCCAGGAUAUUUCCAGGUAUUUGGGUGUUUCCAGGGGCCAGCUCCUUCGGCAUUUUAACCUACGUGGCACUAGCACCAGCACGAGGGAGCUGCGACAGCCUGGAAUUCCUUCUGGAGGUUGGUGGGUGCGUCACGCUGAACAGGCUCAGGCUUUGGAAGAUGCUGCAGUUUGACCCUAUCAGCUCAGCCUGUUGUACAUGCUGGAUUGGGGUGCUCCCACAUUCACCAGCUCUGACACCUCUCACCCCACAUUUUGGACACCCUGUUCACGUUGAAGCAUCGUUUUUCUCUCUCCUGCCUCGCUGGCAUGGCAGAAAGUGUGUUUUUCUCCGCGAUUUUCUUCCUGCUCUUCCUGCCCCGCGUUUCCAGCUGGUUCCAGCGUUGCAGCCAGGAUGUGCAUCAGCACGGUGCCCGCCUCACACAUUACUGUACGUUUUCCAUGCCCAGGGAUUCUGAUUCAAUCAACCUGUUUUCCYUUCGAAAGGGGAGGAGUGGAAAAAAAAAUCCCAGGGGGAAGUGGAAUAAACGCAAGAGGGGUCUCUCAUGUUAAUCCUGCUUUUGUGUGUUCCCUGGGAAAAGACAAGGAUGGAYGGGCUCCCUUUAUGCAGCAAGGGGAGGGAACCACCUCCCACAGGGCAGGGAAUGAACCUGGAAAACGGGUUGCUUCCAUGGAGGGAAACGUGGGCACCCCCAUCCUAACRCUGGUGUGAGUUGACCUGAGCAGAGUCUUGUCAAUUCAUCCAGCCCAGCGUCCAGCCCUCUCUGCAUUUAAUGCUGCAGAUGUGAUGCUGUAGUCUGCAGCCACCCGUGGGCCCCGUGUCCCUCAAACAGUCACAAGCCCCAGUUCUGGCAGGGGAGACAAGGCAAGAGCCACCCRGACCUUGGCUAUGGCAGCUGGAUGAGAUACCGGGACAGAGGAUGCUGGAACCCCUCGUGAAGGUUUGCUGAUACAAUAGUUAACUGCAGAGAUGCUUCACAUUAGACACUCUCCUUAUGACUCCUGUCAGUAAUUUCUUUGUCAUUUUCAUUUAACUUUGGUCCUUGAACAGGCUCUGAGACCGUGAUGCGUUUGCCUGAGGAUGCAGCAGCAGAGGGUGCAGCCACGAUAGAAGUGUAAAGGCAGAAAAUGCAGGAGUUGAUUAAAUCCUUGUGCAAUUUCCAGAUAUGUCUGUAUUUUUCUUUCCCCAGGUAGGCUUGGGCAGUGUGAGCUCUUCAGCUGAGGGUUUUUUUUAAAUUAUGGCUGGGCCAGACCCACCUYUGGCAGUGCCCCCUGAUUCUGCAGGAGCUGGAGAAAUGCAGAAAUUUGGCUUUGCAGAAAAAUAAGAAUGAAAACUGGAAUACCUGCACUGUCUUGUGGAUUUGGGUUUAGAAUUUGUUCCCGGUAGGCGGCAUGAAGAGAACAGAAGCCCUGCAGUCCCCCUGUUUGCAUACAGAGUAUCGAAAUCUGCUUUUAAUGAUGUAGCCCCUGUUUUUAAAAGCGCUCAUCCCUACAAUUAGGCACAAUAAUCCUCCAGCUAGUGACUGCUCUCGUGAUGGACACGUUUCCUUUCAUAUAAACUUCCAAAGGCGAUCUCUGAGACACUGUAAUACUGGCUCACACAUUCACUGCAGCUGAUUGUAAAUCUUUCUAUUAAAGCACUGAAAAAGCCUCUUUGUGAAUUAACACUGUUCUGCUUUAUGCACUUAAUUAAAAAAUAAAUACGUUUCUAUAUAUGCGGUGCAUGCCUGCUUUGCUUUUAAAAUGACAAACUUAGCAGAGUAUGUUGGAUCUAUUUUCUUGAGGAAUAGGGGUUUUUACCACAUGAUUCAUCAAGGAUAUGCGUUAUCCUGGCAUUUGUGAUAAAAAAAAAAAGGAAAGUUAAUAAAAGCAAUUUUCUCGAACAAACAAAAAUGCAUUUUUACUUAAAUGCAAAUAAAUGUAGGCUCUUGCUUGCAGAACAUCUUCUGAUAGAUGGUAUAAUAGCUGUAUAGGUUAACACACACCUCUCUCGUUAACC